rnacentral:rRNA from 1 species
AGAGUUUGAUCCUGGCUCAGGAUGAACGCUAGCGAUAGGCUUAACACAUGCAAGUCGAGGGGCAGCAUGGUCUUAGCUUGCUAAGACUGAUGGCGACCGGCGCACGGGUGCGUAACGCGUAUGCAACUUGCCUCACAGAGGGGGAUAACCCGUCGAAAGACGGACUAAUACCGCGUACACUCCAGCUUGGGCAUCCAAGGUAGAGGAAAUGAAAUUCGCUGUGAGAUAGGCAUGCGUCCCAUUAGCUAGUUGGUGAGGUAACGGCUCACCAAGGCGACGAUGGGUAGGGGAACUGAGAGGUUGAACCCCCACACUGGUACUGAGACACGGACCAGACUCCUACGGGAGGCAGCAGUGAGGAAUAUUGGUCAAUGGGCGAGAGCCUGAACCAGCCAAGUCGCGUGAAGGAUGACUGUCUUAUGGAUUGUAAACUUCUUUUGUAGGGGAAUAAAGAACAGCACGUGUGCUGUAGUGAAUGUACCCUACGAAUAAGCAUCGGCUAACUCCGUGCCAGCAGCCGCGGUAAUACGGAGGAUGCGAGCGUUAUCCGGAUUUAUUGGGUUUAAAGGGUGCGUAGGCGGCCUGUUAAGUCAGCGGUGAAAUCUAGGAGCUUAACUCCUAAAUUGCCAUUGAUACUGGCGGGCUUGAGUGUAGAUGAGGUAGGCGGAAUGCGUGGUGUAGCGGUGGAAUGCAUAGAUAUCACGCAGAACUCCGAUUGCGAAGGCAGCUUACUAAGGUACAACUGACGCUGAAGCACGAAAGCGUGGGUAUCAAACAGGAUUAGAUACCCUGGUAGUCCACGCAGUAAACGAUGAUAACUGGGCGUAUGCGAUAUACAGUAUGCUCCUAAGCGAAAGCGUUAAGUUAUCCACCUGGGGAGUACGCCGGCAACGGUGAAACUCAAAGGAAUUGACGGGGGCCCG